UACGGAGGGUGCGAGCGUUAAUCGGAAUUACUGGGCGUAAAGGGUACGUAGGCGGUUUAUCAAGUCAGAUGUGAAAGCCCCGGGCUUAACCUGGGAACUGCAUUUGAAACUGGUAGACUAGAGUGAGUGAGAGGUUAGUGGAAUUCCUGGUGUAGCGGUGAAAUGCGUAGAUAUCAGGAGGAACAUCAGUGGCGAAGGCGACUGACUGGCACUACACUGACGCUGAGGUACGAAAGCGUGGGGAGCGAACGGG
rnacentral:rRNA from 1 species